GAACCAUUUUUGUAGUGCGGUAG
rnacentral:piRNA from 1 species